rnacentral:lncRNA from 1 species
CGUCGUCGGCGGCGUCCACAAAUAUUCACUCUGUGGUUAAAGUUUUUGAAAUUUUAAUAACUUUCUUAAACUAUACUGAAUUUCUACCAAACUUGGACAGAAGCUUGUUUAUGAUCAUAAAAAAGUAUCCAGAAGUAAAUUUUGUAAAAAUAAAAUUCCAUUUUUUCCGUAUUUUACUUAUAAAUGGACUUACUUUUUCUGAGAGGAAACAUUACAUUCACUCUG